rnacentral:rRNA from 1 species
GCUGGCGGCGUGCUUAACACAUGCAAGUCGAACGGUGAAGCCCACUUGCUGGGUGGAUCAGUGGCGAACGGGUGAGUAACACGUGAGCAACCUGCCCCUGACUCUGGGAUAAGCGCUGGAAACGGCGUCUAAUACUGGAUAUGUGACGUGACCGCAUGGUCUGCGUUUGGAAAGAUUUUUCGGUUGGGGAUGGGCUCGCGGCCUAUCAGCUUGUUGGUGAGGUAAUGGCUCACCAAGGCGUCGACGGGUAGCCGGCCUGAGAGGGUGACCGGCCACACUGGGACUGAGACACGGCCCAGACUCCUACGGGAGGCAGCAGUGGGGAAUAUUGCACAAUGGGCGGAAGCCUGAUGCAGCAACGCCGCGUGAGGGAUGACGGCCUUCGGGUUGUAAACCUCUUUUAGCAGGGAAGAAGCGUGAGUGACGGUACCUGCAGAAAAAGCACCGGCUAACUACGUGCCAGCAGCCGCGGUAAUACGUAGGGUGCAAGCGUUAUCCGGAAUUAUUGGGCGUAAAGAGCUCGUAGGCGGUUUGUCGCGUCUGCUGUGAAAUCUGGGGGCUCAACCCCCAGCCUGCAGUGGGUACGGGCAGACUAGAGUGCGGUAGGGGAGAUUGGAAUUCCUGGUGUAGCGGUGGAAUGCGCAGAUAUCAGGAGGAACACCGAUGGCGAAGGCAGAUCUCUGGGCCGUAACUGACGCUGAGGAGCGAAAGGGUGGGGGAGCAAACAGGCUUAGAUACCCUGGUAGUCCACCCCCGU